rnacentral:lncRNA from 1 species
CUUAAAAGUAUUACUUUAAUGGGCUUCGAGUUUGAUCUAAUCAAAUUUGGUUCUGUAGGUUUACUAGAUUAUGUCGGUUCAUUUUCUACCAGUCAAACUUUCAAGUUCAACUUGAUAGGCAUCAGUUCCUUCUCUAAGGAACUCCUUUCCAAAAAGAAUGUCCUACUGUUGAUGAGCAUCUUAUGUUCUUCAGCAUGAUAGAAUUAGUAACCCUUAGACACCUAUUGGACCAAGAACCAAGUUUAUCUGUAUGCAAACAUUUGACAUAGGUCGAUCAACUCCAAACCCAAAGGUGAGAG